CUGCUGCCUUCCGUAGGAGUUUGGGCCGUGUCUCAGUCCCAAUGUGGCCGUCCACCCUCUCAGGCCGGCUACUGAUCGCUGCCUUGGUGGGCCGUUACCCCGCCAACUAGCUAAUCAGACGCGGAUCCAUCGUAUACCACCGGAGUUUUUCACACUGCCCCAUGCGGAGCCGUGCGCUUAUGCGGUAUUAGCACCUAUUUCUAAGUGUUACCCCCCGGUAUACGGCGGGUUAUCCACGCGUUACUCACCCGUCCGCCACUAACU
rnacentral:rRNA from 1 species